GGGUUGUGAGGUUAAGCGACUAAGCGUACACGGUGGAUGCCCUGGCAGUCAGAGGCGAUGAAGGGCGUGCUAAUCUGCGAUAAGCGCCGGUAAGGUGAUAUGAACCGUUAUAACCGGCGAUACCCGAAUGGGGAAACCCAGUGUGACUCGUCACACUAUCAUUAACUGAAUCCAUAGGUUAAUGAGGCGAACCGGGGGAACUGAAACAUCUAAGUACCCCGAGGAAAAGAAAUCAACCGAGAUUCCCCCAGUAGCGGCGAGCGAACGGGGAGGAGCCCAGAGCCUGAAUCAGCAUGUGUGUUAGUGGAAGCGUCUGGAAAGGCGCGCGAUACAGGGUGACAGCCCCGUACACAAAAGCGCAUGUGCUGUGAGCUCGAUGAGUAGGGCGGGACACGUGGUAUCCUGUCUGAAUAUGGGGGGACCAUCCUCCAAGGCUAAAUACUCCUGACUGACCGAUAGUGAACCAGUACCGUGAGGGAAAGGCGAAAAGAACCCCGGCGAGGGGAGUGAAAAAGAACCUGAAACCGUGUACGUACAAGCAGUGGGAGCACAGGUUUACCUGUGUGACUGCGUACCUUUUGUAUAAUGGGUCAGCGACUUAUAUUCUGUAGCAAGGUUAACCGAAUAGGGGAGCCGGAGGGAAACCGAGUCUUAAUUGGGCGUUAAGUUGCAGGGUAUAGACCCGAAACCCGGUGAUCUAGCCAUGGGCAGGUUGAAGGUUGGGUAACACUAACUGGAGGACCGAACCGACUAAUGUUGAAAAAUUAGCGGAUGACCUGUGGCUGGGGGUGAAAGGCCAAUCAAACCGGGAGAUAGCUGGUUCUCCCCGAAAGCUAUUUAGGUAGCGCCUCGUGAAUUCAUCUCCGGGGGUAGAGCACUGUUUCGGCUAGGGGGCCAUCCCGGCUUACCAACCCGAUGCAAACUGCGAAUACCGGAGAAUGUUAUCACGGGAGACACACGGCGGGUGCUAACGUCCGUCGUGAAGAGGGAAACAACCCAGACCGCCAGCUAAGGUCCCAAAGUCAUGGUUAAGUGGGAAACGAUGUGGGAAGGCCCAGACAGCCAGGAUGUUGGCUUAGAAGCAGCCAUCAUUUAAAGAAAGCGUAAUAGCUCACUGGUCGAGUCGGCCUGCGCGGAAGAUGUAACGGGGCUAAACCAUGCACCGAAGCUGCGGCAGCGACACUGUGUGUUGUUGGGUAGGGGAGCGUUCUGUAAGCCUGUGAAGGUGGCCUGUGAGGGUUGCUGGAGGUAUCAGAAGUGCGAAUGCUGACAUAAGUAACGAUAAAGCGGGUGAAAAGCCCGCUCGCCGGAAGACCAAGGGUUCCUGUCCAACGUUAAUCGGGGCAGGGUGAGUCGACCCCUAAGGCGAGGCCGAAAGGCGUAGUCGAUGGGAAACAGGUUAAUAUUCCUGUACUUGGUGUUACUGCGAAGGGGGGACGGAGAAGGCUAUGUUGGCCGGGCGACGGUUGUCCCGGUUUAAGCGUGUAGGUGUGUGUUCCAGGUAAAUCCGGUUCACUUUAACACUGAGGCGUGAUGACGAGGCACUACGGUGCUG
rnacentral:rRNA from 1 species